UUUCUGCGGUCCAUGGAAUGAGUCCAACUGCCCAAGUAUGCUGGUCAAGAGGUGGUGUUCCAGUGCCUUGGUGAGGGAAUACUGGAAAACGCCUUUCAAGGAUACAAUGCCUGCAUUUUCGCCUACGGACAAACAGGGUCAGGGAAGUCCUUCUCCAUGAUGGGGAAUAAGAAGGCUCCAGGGCUGAUCCCAGGCUGUGCUGCUCCCUGUUUGAGAGGAUCG